rnacentral:rRNA from 1 species
UACGUAGGGGGCUAGCGUUGUCCGGAUUUAUUGGGCGUAAAGAGCGUGUAGGCGGCCAUGUAGGUCCGGUGUGAAAACUCGAGGCUUAACCUCGAGAUGUCAUCGGAAACCAUUUGGCUAGAGUCCGGAAGAGGAGAGUGGAAUUCCUGGUGUAGCGGUGAAAUGCGUAGAUAUCAGGAGGAACACCGGUGGCGAAGGCGUCCCUCUGGCCGGAUACUGACGCUGAGACGCGAAAGCGUGGGGAGCAAACAGG